rnacentral:rRNA from 1 species
UACAGAGGAUGCAAGCGUUAUCCGGAAUGAUUGGGCGUAAAGCGCCUGUAGGUGGCUUUUUAAGUCCGCCGUCAAAUCCCAGGGCUCAACUCUGGACAGGCGGUGGAAACUACCAAGCUGGAGUACGGUAGGGGCAGAGGGAAUUUCCGGUGGAGCGGUGAAAUGCGUAGAGAUCGGAAAGAACACCAACGGCGAAAGCGCUCUGCUGGGCCGACACUGGCACUGAGAGACGAAAGCUAGGGGAGCGAAUGGG